rnacentral:tRNA from 1 species
GCCUGGUGGCUCAGUCGGUUAAGCAUCUGACUUUGGCUCAGGUCAUGAUCUCACAGUCCGUGGGUUCGAGCCCCUCAUCGGGCU